UCCAAGAUCAACAACAAAACCCGAAGGGGGAUGAAAAAUCUUUCCUCGAAAUGACCGCACACUUUUGUAAACUGCUGACUUUCAAAACUACGUCUCCCUGGUGUGGGAGAGUUUUGGAAAACUAAAAUUCACCGAGGAGCUCUUGUGCGGCGCUCGGUCAGAGCGGGCUUGUUGUGUGGCAAUGCGCUGGCAUGAACCACUUAACCUACUUCCACAGAAGCAUUACAGCCCAGCAACAAUUGCGGAUGACGCCAGAGGCCAAGGACUCUUUGGGAGUUUGAUCUGAUUGCGUUGCUCGAUGGGAUUCUGCUCCUGUGAGUGCACACCCGAUUGUCAACACCGAUUUUCCUUGAUGGAGAUGAUCGAGUGGAGCGGUGGGAUUUGACAAAUGAGCAGAGGCCGGCUGUAAUCCCUAAAUCACCACAAAGAAGCGUAAUCAUCAUGGAAGUUUGCAACAACCCCUGGCGGUAAAACCACAAUGCAUUAUGGUAUAAAGAGCUCCAAACAGCCCCUAACACUGUAAUGUUAUUGAGUUAUCCCAUAACUGGAUCAGUCAAAUCCGCCUGCUGCACUUUGCUUAAUGCACAACAGCUGGUGGCAGCUGUGGCAGCCAUGAUGGAUAUGAUGUCAUGGUGCAGUUCCCGCCCACUCUGACCUCCUGUGAUUAUUCAUUGGCUGCAGGCUCCAUGAAGGCGACAAUGUGUGGAGAAAUUAGAGGUGAGCCUUCGUGGUAUGCAGAUCGUCCACAGCUGCUCCGGACAAACGCUCCUCGUCUUUCCCACAGGCCCUCUGCGGAUGACUGGUGACAUGCAAAUACUCCAGAGGGUGAAAAAAAGUGAAGCGAGGCCAAGAGAAGGAGUGGGUUACAUCCCUGAAAGGAGAAUGUCAGGGAACAGAGGGUGAAUCUGCACCUGUGGCAGACUGGAUUUCAUCACCGCAGUCACAUCCAGCAGCGGUCUGGCUCAAAGCAGCGACGGGUAUCACUCCAUUACGAUGUCCUCCUCUCAUUCCCCGUCUGAAAAAGCGCGUCUUGCUAUCGAUUUCCUCCGCCUGCCAAGAGCUUGGUGAACAUCUGCUGAAUCCGACAGGCGCAUUACUCAUCCUGGGCACAGAGCAGAUAUCCAUAAUCAGCUGUUUCCUUCUCCUCUGUUUGGAAUAACAAGAACAUACGUCAGCCCAAACGGUCGCUACACCGCGGCCGAGCUGCACGAGGCUCUAAACGCUCACAGCCCUUAUAAGGUGAUCCAGUCUCUAUCUGGACCAGGAUGGAAGCAGAUGGGUUUAUAGUAAGGGACAUGCGAAGUUCCUGUUUGUGCUCACCUCGGAAUACCAGCUCACUCAUCUCCACACACAGCUUUGGGAACACACACACAUGUGGCACACUCAUCGAUCAAAAUGAGGACCUUGAAUGCAGAGAUGUGAGACCGGUACACACACACACACACACACACACACACACACACACACACACACACACACACACACACACACACACACACACACGUGCGUGCGCGAGUUCUCUUGAACCUUCAGAAGGUUUGAGGUGUUUAAUGAUAGCACAGAGGUCGAGAUAAAGCUGGUCAAAGCGCUCUGCAGCUGCUGGUCGGUAAUUACUCAGAUCACGCUGACCUCGAGGAGGCCGGGGUCGCUCGGCCCGUUAGGAGGAACAACCUGCAGCCUGACAGACAACUUUCCCAUGCCACCUCCAUAAAUCUACCUUCUCUGAAAGCAGCAGACUGUCAGCGGGGCCUGGAAUUAAAGAUUCCUGGGAUGCAGCACCAGGAAUUCCUGUCCAGUCAUCAGUAACAUGGAAGCUGUCAAAAGUCACAUUUCCACUUUAGGAGUUCUGGGAAAUUUCUGGAAUGGGUGAAGGUGACAGGGAAAAUACGCUGGCUCUGUCCUCUCAGCCGCGGUUUCUUCAACGCCAGCGGUGAGUGACGUCAUUGAUGAGCGCCAUCCGCGGACAUUAAUAACAUUUUAUUCUGGCCUGAAGAUAAUCAAAGAAAAAUACACGAGGUCUUCGUUUUUUAUGUCUGACAACAUUUGUUUGACGUAGAAUUUAUUAUCAAAUUACAGAUUUUUAAACAAAAGGAAGACGGAGAGAUUUUUCUUACUCGCUAGAUGAUAAAUACUUUUGUUGAGCUGAGUGGCGACAAAAAAAGUAUAUUUUUAUUUUUGGAAUAAGGCCAAAAAAGGUGCAUUUUGGGCCUUUUACCCAUUUUUUCUUUUUUUGCCUCACUUCAGGAUAAAGUUUGACGUUUAUUUUUUUCUGAGAUUGUUUUAAUGAAACAGUGUUUUCUGUUUUGUAUUUUUGUGAAAUUGUUUUGUUUUCAACAUUUCUGUGGCGUUUUGUGCCUCCAGGCCGUUUAAGAUUACCUUUCAAACAUAACAAUAAACUGGACACCCAGGAAUGUUUUAGGAAUUUGUGCCUUUUGGGCAACGUCUCACACGCACACGGCAGAGGAGCCAUCUGAUAAUAACAGUUAUUUCACGCUGUAAGGAAUAAUUCAUGAGCCUGGAUCACUUUGACUGCUGGAGACGCAUCUGCAGGACGAAACCUCGGUCCCCUCGGGUCCUCCAGCAGCAGGAAAAAGGCCAUAAAGGACAAUAAUCAUUUAGCUUCUGUUGUGCUUCAAUUUGGUCAUGGCCCUGCCUCUAAACUCGUGCGCUUUUGUUGCACAUCUAUACGCACAAAUCCCACGCUGACAUCAACAUAAAGCUGUCAACCUCAUCAGAUGAUGGGCCUCCAUCCAUAUAUCUAAACUAUUAUUACUUGGUCCAAGCAGAUUAUCUCCCACGUAGAGCUGAAUGGUGCCUGAUCGGCUUACACGUUAGGCGCGUGAGGAUGUCACACAGCAGCACCUCAUCGCACGGCGCUCAACCUUCUCCAGCCGACGGCCGCAGCCCAAAUACGGGAAAACUGAGAUUUUCAAUUUCAAGUCAUAAAGAAAUACAUAGGCAUCAAAAACACUUUAAUUAAAAUAAAAAAGCUAAUUUAUUCUAGUUUACAUUUUACAUGUUUUUCACCUCAAAUCACAAAAACCCAAGUUUCCUGUGUCUGCCUCGGUUAAUUUGGUUAAAACACAAAUAUGUCUGACGGUCAGAGUAGUAAAACAUCACAAGAGUAGAAAUGUGGAUUAUUUAAUACUAGUGAGCAAAUUAUCUCAAAACGGGCUAACAAGUGGGUGCAAAACUACAAGAAAGGCUAAAGCUGUUUAAUUUUCUUCUUUUGGUGUCUUUGAUGCCUUUAUAGAUUGGAUAAAUCAAAAGUACCACCAACCCCUUCACCAACAGGUCAACCACUUGGUUUAGUUCCUAACUUUCAUUGAAACACAUUCUAAGCUUUACUGAAAACAGACCUAAUAAAUAAAAAUAAAUGAAAAUGAUUUAUUUAAAGGUUAAACAUUAAUUUCAUAAACACAAUUAUGUUCAUGAUAUUAUAACCCUCCUUGCCAAAAAUGAAUUAAAGUACAAAGGUAAAAAUGAUCUUUGCUUUAAGUCUGAUCAGCGUCAGUACAGAAACAAACAGGAAGAGGAUUAAUUAAAAAUAAAUGAUAAAACGCUAAGAAACUGAUCACACCCAGAGGCACUGAGCCGUCCUUGGAUUCACUCGUCACUCAAAAACAAACUAGUGCUUCAGAUUCCUUUUGGUAGAAAUUAUUGUUCUGCACUCGGGAACAUUUCUAAUUGGCUGACCUGAGCAGCAAAUGCACUUUAUGCGACAGAUUUCCAUCUCCAUCUGUCUUAAGGACAAAAAGAAGAAACAAACACUGAAUCUGAUCUUGACUGUGCACUAAAAUAAAAGUCUAAUUGGAUUAUCUCUCCAUUCUUUAGGUUUUUACAGUUUUUCUCCUGGUGUCUGGUUCCAGAAGAUCCUGACCCUUAAUAACCUUGUUAGCGAGCCCCGAGGGGACGGCACACAAAGAGCUGGUCUCUCUUUGCACCCGAUAAACGUCUCUUUAUUCCCUCUGCUGCUGCUGGAGCAGGUGCCUUCCAUAUUGCGACUGUCACUAUGAGAUAAAUACAACCUGCUUUGUUUUAACGCCUUUUUCGAUCGCUCGUCAUCUCGUUCUUUGGCAGGGAAAGAACGUUUGAGACGAAAACCUGAGCAGAAACGGUAAAUCUCUUCCCCAGUCCUGACUCAGCUCCCCUACUUUCACCUCCAUCCCUAUCCCCCGUUUCUACCAAUCAAUCCCUAAUCAUUCACUCGCAGUGGCUGUCAGGCUGUGGCCAGACUAUUAUGGCCUAACUAGAUCCAGGCGAGCUGGAGGUUAAUGCAGCCUCGUCCGUGCUGGUUGGACAAGCCAUAGGUUAGAUUGAUAGGGGCUGUCUCAGCAGGCCAGUUGGGACGAAAGUCAGUGAAGUCUGGAUUAAUCACAGCAGAUUUAAUCGUUUAGCAGACGCCAAAGUGACUUACAAGUGAGGAAGAACCUUCGAACAUCUGCAGUUAGAAACCUGCUGGAUUUGUUUUGAUGGCAGUAGAGGUGGGGCAGGUACAGAUACCAAAGGUAAGGCUAGAAAGGACGACUGCAGGUGAUGAAAAUGUUUUCUAGUAGGAUGAAAUCUUAAAGGUACGGUGCUAGUGUGGUAGCAUCAGCUUUACAGGAAAUGUAAUGGAAAAGUCGCCCUUUGCUGCCAUGUGGGUCUCUGCUGCCCCGAUAAACAUAAAAAACCAUCCAUCCGGUUUGGUUAUGCCUGAAACAAGAUGCUUCCAAAACUCCUCGUUGUGACAUCACAAACUGGGAAUGAAUAGAACCACCUAAUAGGGGGCCCAAGCCACGCCCAUCUACUUCUGGUCCAGUUGUGUAGCAACGACCUCAGGCAUCACAGAAGUCUGAAGGAAAUUGUCUCCGUCGAUGCGUGUGAGAAGUGUAAAUAAGGCUUGACCCCGGUUUCACACUGCAAGCAUCAGCGGAACGGAACGGCAGUGAAGCGGCACCGCUUCAAAUAGAAUCCAAUUAUAGUCUAUGGAGUGUUUCAAACCAGCCGCAACGCGGCAAUUUUCAGGUGCGUCCCAGAAGCAGCAUGCCGCGCCGCUAAAGAUGGGAUCGAGUUCUAUUUUUUCCGCGAGCAGCUUCUGGGACACGUCGAUUUCCGCAGUUCACAUAGUGCGAGACAGGAAACCAUGCGGUUUCAGUGAAAAAUCCCCGGUUUUUUUCAAAAUAAAAUGCAACGUUGCAAUGUUAUAUGUAACUUACGUCAGCACUUGUGACCGAACGGCUUUGUUUACCACCAGUUUCUUUCGAGAAGUGCAACGGUGUGAUUCCUCGCGGGGGUUGUGAUUUCUCAAUGAGGAAGGUGUUGGAAGUCUCGAGGGGUUUUAGAAUCUCGCGAGUACAGCGAGGCGCAGCGAGGAAGCUGUGACGCGGGCAAGACUCCCCCGGUGUGAAAAGGACCGCUUUGAAGUUGCAAGUUCCGUUCCGCUGAUGCUUGCAGUGUGAAACCGGGGUUUUUUAGGAUCUGUUGUCAUCACUGACGCGGCCGCCAUGUUGGCAGCCAACGAGUCCUUACUUGUUUCUUGUUUCCACUCAAAACAGCGCGCUCAGGAUCAUUCUUGCAUCUAUUAUUCAUUUGAUGGGUUAUAUUACACAACUACGCUAAAUCAUUGCUGCGUUGUGGAGUGACACGUGGUCGCCAGGAAAAGGUGGAAAACAGGCUAACUUUUCACAGUUUUCCUGCUUGGAGGCAUAACCACGGAAACCAAGCAUCCAGCUUAGCAAAGUCUCGUCGGGUUGCCCAGAUCACAGCUGUGAGGCGACCAAACAUCACCUUCCAGAGUAUUUUCAUCCUGUUAAGUUACAGACGGUGUACGUUUUCUCUCCUUCAACCGCGACAUGCACUCACCAGUCGGCUAAUGCGGGCGCACUGACACACAACUUCUCCUGCUACUCUUCUGUGGGAUGACUAUUUUGAUUGUUGUGCUAGAAACACCAGCAAAUGAAAUGUUUGCCUCUCAUUCGGAUGUUUACGUCUGCUCACACCAAACAAGAUGGCCGAAAAAGUCCGUUAUGCAGAACUGCAGUGGCAACAAGUUGUCGUCGGCGCUCCACUCCACUAGAUGGAUCUAAACCAUUUAUAAUGCUGAUUUUGUCCACACACCGGUCCCCAACGUUUUUAUCUAACAGAUCCGUCUGUCUUCCACAUCCUUUGGGGGAUUUUAACUUGUUGUUUAACAUUUCCUUUGUCCCAAAUCUGCGUCUUGUCUGCAACAUACUGCUUGUUUUCACGGUUUGUUUACACUAGUAAGGCUAUCAACAUGUCAUAGUCACGGCGGGAUCCCAAGCCCUAUUUACCUGCUGGUAAAAACAGACCGUUUUUCCUUUGGGAAUGCUUCGGAAACGUCUCUUACCCAUGCAGAUGCUCUCUAAAUGAAAACGUAGCAUAUUGUUCGGUGGCCAGAAUCAUUCCAGCACUUUAACAAAUUUCUCUUUUCUAAAUAAAAGCCUCAGUCUUCAUGAUAACGGCUUGCUUUUGAUAAAUCAAAUGUAAUUUUCACACUAAUUUUAAGAAGAUUUGCACAUUUCCUAAAAAAUGAGGAUUGUGUCUCGAUUGGAGAAUACUUUCUCUACUAAACAAGAGCGAUGCAUUGUGGGAAAUUUCCCUGGAGAUCAGCUUUAAUUUUAAUCUACUUACUAUUGUAGCACAGGUGAAAAUGCACAAACUCAAACAGCAACCAUGGAGCUUUUUGGCCUUGUAAAUAAAUUUGUGUCGCUUCUGAGCUAAAAAAUAUCACUGAAGUCUGGAGUUUAAAUAAUACAGAAGCAACACGUAAUGUCGUGCCCUGAAAUAUUCAGCGGAUUUUAUGUAACCGUGUUUUGAUAAACUAAAGAAGGACAAGAGAGGGAAUUGGGGGCAAGAGAUAAAGGGGGCGGGUUAUAAAUAGGUCAAACUACAGCGAGGCUCCAUGAUCACAUCCCAGCUGCAAUGGCAGAUGGAUAAAAGGGAAAAGUGGAGCAAAUGGCAAUCACAACAAACCUGGUCCAAGCAGUGCAAGCUGCACAAAACUCCAAGAAGAAGGCUUGGCGUUUAAACCACUACCGCGCUCUUGUGAUGCUACGUUGUCGGUUCAUUAGUGUAAUAAUUACAGACCUCUGUCUCUGCUAAUUUGUGCAGCUUUGUGUUUGAGUGUAAGGAGCAUAACGCAAAUACUAACAGAAGACGACGACAGCCCUGGUUGUCUUUUUUCACUAAAGCAGAGGUGCAAAGUCGGUGAAUCCAGCCUACGCGGGGCUCAUUAAAACACAAUGCUAUCGACUCCAGACUUCUAUUAUUUUCGCUGCAGGUCUUUCUCUGCUCUGCACCAUCACUGCCCUGUGUUCUGGUGUGCAUCCGUGCACGUGAGCGUGCGUGGGAGGAGGCGUAGGGUGCAUAGUUAAAAAGGCGCGUAUAGUGAAGGUUUGACUUGUUUCCUUUUGCACUGGGAGACGCAGGAUCACAGAGCCUUUAAGCUGCAGAAACAGCUGCACACACUGAGUGCACGGUGAGAAUUCAGACAGAUCCGAACAGGUGCUCCUGCUGCUAACGGGGACUGAUAUGGACCGGCGUUUGCCAGUUAGGUGCUAUUGGUCCAAAGAGAGGGAACAGCAACAUGACCUGGAUGGCAUUAAGCUCAUUAUGUCUAGACAGAGCAAAACACCAUCCAACAUCUUAGUUUUCUCUGGAGCGAGAUCGCCAUGAGCAUCUGAGGGGC